CACGCCCUAAACUAUGGAUGCUAGCAGUUUCGAGUAUCGACCCUCGAAGUUGCGAAGCUAACGCGUUAAGCAUCCCGCCUGUGGAGUACGAGCGCAAGCUUAAAACAUAAAGGAAUUGACGGGGACCCGCACAAGCGGUGGAGCGUGUUGUUUAAUUCGAUGGUAAGCGAAGAACCUUACCCAGACUUGACUUCCUUGGAAGUUCUGCGAAAGCAGAGUGUGCCUUCGGGAACCAAGUGACAGGUGU
rnacentral:rRNA from 1 species